rnacentral:siRNA from 1 species
GGCAUUACGUCCGACAUACUCCGG